rnacentral:tRNA from 6 species
GCGGGUGUAGCUCAAUGGUAGAGCAGUGGCUUCCCAAGCCUCCGACGUGGGUUCGAUUCCCAUCACCCGCUCCA